CUGCAUGAAGCUCUGCAACAGCACCCUUAUUCUUAUAAUAACCAAUAACCUGCAUUCCAAGCAUCCAGAACACCAUCAGAUUUCAGUGAGUGGCAAGACACAGGCAGGAUUAACAAUGGAGAAGAAAUCUAGGUGCUAAAACCAAAGAGGUGAUUCAAGUGGGCUCCAUAACCAUCCAGAUACUUGGUAAUCAUCAUUACUCAAUGACUUAAUAUAAGCAGCCAUAUUAUAAGGUAAUAUUUCCAAAAAACCUAAUUGAAAUCCAGCAGGACUUGUGUUAUUCCAAAGGCAAGAUCCAUUUCCAUGAGAGAACUUUAUACUAUCACAAUACUAUGUGUAAGAGGAGGCCCUAGGAUGAAUGGCCACAAGCACAAGUUGCAGUGCAAAACACAACGGCAUAUUAACAUGUGAUGGCUGGAGACUUGACACUUGAUAGAAUUGAGGAAGAACAUUUUUUAUCGUGUUCAUAAAAGAUAGCUUGUGAACAGGCCAGCCAAGAAACCUUUCUGUGCUUAUAAAUAAAUAUAAUACCAAAGGCCCAAGAAGAUAGCUGUCCUAUGUAGGGAGAAGAAAACCCUGGUUCUAGUACUCUCCCGUCCAUGGCUUAAAGGCAUCUUUCUCUUGCCCCCUACCGACAUGUAGUGCCAUCACCAAAAUAC